AAAUGCCAAUCGAUAUGCAGAUAUUCGCACUUAGAGAUGGGCGACAGCUAUCAGUGAUCGACCAUUCCUAAAAAAAAUGGCUGACUUGGCGAUUGCUGUUGAUGGCUUUUUCGAAAAUGUAUUUUUUAACUGUAAAGAUAUGGCAAAACGGUGGCUAAAGUGUCACAUGCUCCUCGGACAUUUGGACAUUACAUCGCUCGCGCGCUGCUCUGACAAAUGUAACCCCAAACAAAAGCACAUUAAUUAGCCACCAGCGAGAAAGUUAAAUUGCAGAAAUCGCAAAACUUUAAUAUCCCCCAAGUCCAAAGACCAAAGUCGUGGCGAAAGUCAAAGUAAUGGAAUUGUGUAAUUAACGAGACUCUGGGGAGAAAGACCCGAUGAAACGUUCCAGCUGCUGCGGACUUUUGCUAUAACUUGAAGAUGUCUCCACCACAUCCACAUCCUUCGGACGCAGGAUGGAGUGCAAUAGAUGAAGUGCAACGACGCCCAGCAGAGGACGGAGGAGCCUGGGGGCUGGUUCCAACACCGAUUCAGAACUUAUAGGAGCAGCAUCUCCUCCGAUAUUUAUCAGAUGAAUAUUAAUUAGAAUGAUUAUGUAUUUACAUGUGUGGUCGCUUGAGAAUUGCACAUUUCUCAAGCCAAUUGUUGCUGCUUGAAAGUUUACUGAUGUUUAGCUUGGAUUGGAACACAUUUUUGAAGGAUAUUGAGAACGAGCUACCACCGAUCAAUCAGUUAGAUCCAAGUCUGAUAGAAUGAAUCAGCAUAAUCACAAUAUAAAGAUUUAAUUGGAAGUUAUCUUCCAAUACAGGCCAACAGCCUGUAGCUUUAGAUUUUAACUUUAAGUUCACAGAACAAAAACAAAAUUUAAAUACAUAUGCCUCUACUCUGAUGGAUAGAUACAUUUCAAUAAGAGUCCUUCCUGAAUCUACAGAAAAAAUUCAGAUAUAUUUGCAAUGCCUUUUACGGGAAUGUCUGGUUCUAAAAAAUAUCUGCCAUUUAUGUAUUGAACAUUGCAAGCGCAUAAAUGAUAGAUUCAUGGUGGGUUCUAAAAAAAAACAUUUAUCCUACGGCAAACAUCACAUAUUUUUUUAAAGCUU
rnacentral:sRNA from 1 species